ensembl:lncRNA
AGUUAAGGGCUGACUCCCAAGGAGGAAGGAUCUCUAGCUGGAGAUCACUCCUCUUGGAGCCCUUCCAGGAGCCCAGGGUGUGGAAUAACAUGGAGUAGAAUAGAACGUGGAAGAAGAGAUUGAUACUUCCCUCUGCACAUUUCUUCAAGAAGCUGCAGAAAGAAUUGAGAUCAUCUCUCAGCCUUCCCUCCUCCAGACUGGACAACCCAAAUGUCUUUAUUCUCUCCUUGAAGAAUGGCAGUAAAUGAAUAAACUUGUAAGGAAUAAGGUGCAGAACUCCUGGAAAGGCUGUAUUUACCAUGGGAAUGUACAAAGUGCAGUUGAAGGAAAGACUCUACUCAUCUUUGUAAGAGUGCAGUAUUUACGUAGAUUAACUUUAUCUUUGGAAAACAUGUAAUUUUACAAUACUGUCUUUUAUCCAAAACAUAUUCUUACACCUGUCUGUCACCAGUUCUGCUACUGGGACACUGAGCUGGCUGUAGCUCAUGCCAGUGUAGUAACCCACAGUUCAAAUGUGUCAAGGAAAGACAUUUCAAGCACUCUGCCUAGCAGGUAGAAAUAUCUUUUCAAUUGAAGUUGGACUAGAGGGAGAAUGACUCAGAAAAAGGCAAAGUAAUGAGUCUAUGGUAGAAAGAGUUAUUGUAACCAUUGAGAUGAAUAGUGACUGCAGCAGAAAAAGAAGCAACAAUGCAGAGUUCUGUGAAGCUAACAAGCAAAAAAUGUGUAGUGUUGUUUUAUCAAGGCAAAUAAUGCAGAUAUACAGCAAGGAUCCCCAUGCUCACACUAAACAUUAUGAGAGAUAAUGUCUGAUUCUUCUAUGCAAACUGGAGACAAAUGCUAAUGAAUGCUAUUAUAUUUCUGAAAUAACAAAUCACUGUUUGGUCUGGAAAUAAUUUAUGGCUACAGUUCACAGAUUUGCUUGAUUUCUAUCGCUGGCAAGCUUUAUCUUUCUCCUUCUUACAAAAUUAAAACUACAAAACUGAAUUAGAGCCAUCAGGGCAGGAAAACUAACAUACAUCUGUGGAAGGGUAAAAAGGAAACUAGAAGCGUGGAGGGAAAAUUUUUGCCCACAAAUUUAUUCAAUUACACGACCUUUUCUUUUAGUAUCAGUGUGAAUGUGUGAACCGUUGUUAUGUUUUUAUACAGAUCACAUAAUCUUUCAUAUCUCUCCUAUUGUAAAAUUUAGAUGAUUCCUCCACACUGAAUACAACUUACUGUAUUAUCUUGAGUGCCAACAAGAUCAAGAAAAUUGAUAUCAGAAUGGAGAGAAUGAUGGGGAAAAAUCUGAAGUCUAUAAUGAAGUGUUUUUAUUAUUUUUUAAAAAUUCUCUAAAGAGAGCAGUUUGAGAGAGAGAGAGAAAAACAAAUAAAAAAUUGAGAAAAAUAUCACUGCUAAAAACAAAUAAACAGAAAAACAACAAACAAACAAGAAACUACUCUCCAUGAUGCACAAUGGAAGUGAAAUGCAUCAAGCUAUAAUAUAGCUGUAAGACUACACAGUACACUGGAAGCCAAGUCCGUCUUAUACUGAGCUUAUGAGCUACACAUUGCAUAAGAACAGACAGAGAUUUGGUAUCUUUACAAAUUAUAACAGUUGAAAUCAUAUAAGAUAUUAUUACUGCAAUUUAACAUCUGUUAAUGUAUAACGUUAUAUCUGAAUAACUGAAAAUAUAUGCAUCGAAGAAGAUAUUAAACUCAAAUAAAAUUCACAAUAUUUAUUUAAUUUGAAUGUAAAUAGUCUUAAUUUUUAUAAUCCAAGUAAAGGAAGAUUAUAAGAAGGAAGAGAUAAAACUAGUUAGGAAAUAAUGUUCCAUUCUCUGAAGAAUAAAACUUGUACUUAUUUAGACAUUUUGAGAUGUCAUGGAAAGCUAUAAUUUUGAAUUUUCUCAUGGCAUUUGAUAUGGAAUUUAUUUUAAUUUUUUUAUAUGUGAACAAAAAUCUUAUUUUACAGACAUUUUCUUUGACAAGAUUUUACAUUUUUGUAUGAAUAAAAACACUUAUGUAAGG